UACAGAGGGGGCAAGCGUUGUUCGGAAUUACUGGGCGUAAAGGGCGCGUAGGCGGCCUGCUAAGUCGAACGUGAAAUCCCUGGGCUCAACCCAGGAACUGCGUCCGAUACUGGUUGGCUUGAAUCCGGGAGAGGGAUGUGGAAUUCCAGGUGUAGCGGUGAAAUGCGUAGAUAUCUGGAGGAACACCAAUGGCGAAGGCAGCUCGCUGGGACGGUACUGACGCUGAGACGCGAAAGCGUGGGGAGCAAACAGG
rnacentral:rRNA from 1 species